AACAUCGCGCACCUGCGGGAACCUGCGGAAGGAUCAUUACAGAGUUGCAAAACUCCCUAAACCAUUGUGAACGUUACCUAACCGUUGCUUCGGCGGGCGGCCCGGGUCCUUCCCGGCGCCCAUCGGCCCUCGCGGGCGCCCGCCGGAGGUAAACCAAACUAUUGCAUUGUAUGGCCUCUCUGAGUCUUCUGUACUGAAUAAGUCAAAACUUUCAACAAUGGAUCUCAGAUCGGAAGAGCA
rnacentral:misc_RNA from 1 species